GUGGGAUGAUGAGAGUCAGAGAGGUUUCGCUUAAUAAUCUGAACUCCUGGGAUGUCAUAUCCUCUUGGCUGUCUGACCAC